rnacentral:rRNA from 1 species
AUUGAACGCUGGCGGCAUGCCUUACACAUGCAAGUCGAACGGCAGCACGGGAGCAAUCCUGGUGGCGAGUGGCGAGCGGGUGAGUAAUAUAUCGGAACGUGCCCAGUCGUGGGGGAUAACGUAGCGAAAGCUACGCUAAUACCGCAUACGAUCUAUGGAUGAAAGCGGGGGAUCGCAAGACCUCGCGCGAUUGGAGCGGCCGAUAUCAGAUUAGGUAGUUGGUGAGGUAAAGGCUCACCAAGCCGACGAUCUGUAGCUGGUCUGAGAGGACGACCAGCCACACUGGGACUGAGACACGGCCCAGACUCCUACGGGAGGCAGCAGUGGGGAAUUUUGGACAAUGGGCGCAAGCCUGAUCCAGCAAUGCCGCGUGCAGGAUGAA